AUUGAACGCUGGCGGCAGGCCUAACACAUGCAAGUCGAGCGGAUGAAGGGAGCUUGCUCCUGGAUUCAGCGGCGGACGGGUGAGUAAUGCCUAGGAAUCUGCCUGGUAGUGGGGGAUAACGUCCGGAAACGGGCGCUAAUACCGCAUACGUCCUGAGGGAGAAAGUGGGGGAUCUUCGGACCUCACGCUAUCAGAUGAGCCUAGGUCGGAUUAGCUAGUUGGUGGGGUAAAGGCCUACCAAGGCGACGAUCCGUAACUGGUCUGAGAGGAUGAUCAGUCACACUGGAAGUGAGACACGGUCCCGACUCCUAAGGGAGGCAGCAGUGGGGAAUAUUGGACAAUGGGCGAAAGCCUGAUCCAGCCAUGCCGCGUGUGUGAAGAAGGUCUUCGGAUUGUAAAGCACGUUAAGUUGGGAGGAAGGGCAGUAAGUUAAUACCUUGCUGUUUUGACGUUACCAACAGAAUAAGCACCGGCUAACUUCGUG
rnacentral:rRNA from 1 species